rnacentral:rRNA from 1 species
GACGAACCGUGCAAACGUUGUUCGGAAUCACUGGGCUUAAAGGGCGCGUAGGCGGGUUCCCAAGUCGGUGGUGAAAUCUUUCGGCCCAACCGGAAAAGUGCCGCCGAUACUGGGAGUCUCGAGGGAGGUAGGGGUCGAUGGAACUUCCGGUGGAGCGGUGAAAUGCGUUGAGAUCGGAAGGAACGCCCGUGGCGAAAGCGAGCCCCUGGACGUCUACUGACGCUGAGACGCGAAAGCCAGGGGAGCGAACGGG